rnacentral:rRNA from 1 species
CGGAGGAGGCUACACAUGCAGUCGAGCGGUAACACAGGGAGCUUGCUCCUGGGUGACGAGCGGCGGACGGGUGAGUAAUGUCUGGGAAACUGCCUGAUGGAGGGGGAUAACUACUGGAAACGGUAGCUAAUACCGCAUAAUGUCGCAAGACCAAAGAGGGGGACCUUCGGGCCUCUUGCCAUCAGAUGUGCCCAGAUGGGAUUAGCUAGUAGGUGGGGUAACGGCUCACCUAGGCGACGAUCCCUAGCUGGUCUGAGAGGAUGACCAGCCACACUGGAACUGAGACACGGUCCAGACUCCUACGGGAGGCAGCAGUGGGGAAUAUUGCACAAUGGGCGCAAGCCUGAUGCAGCCAUGCCGCGUGUAUGAAGAAGGCCUUCGGGUUGUAAAGUACUUUCAGCGAGGAGGAAGGCGUUAAGGUUAAUAACCUUGGCGAUUGACGUUACUCGCAGAAAAAGCACCGGCUAACUCCGUGCCAGCAGCCGCGGUAAUACGGAGGGUGCAAGCGUUAAUCGGAAUUACUGGGCGUAAAGCGCACGCAGGCGGUCUGUCAAGUCGGAUGUGAAAUCCCCGGGCUCAACCUGGGAACUGCAUUCGAAACUGGCAGGCUAGAGUCUUGUAGAGGGGGGUAGAAUUCCAGGUGUAGCGGUGAAAUGCGUAGAGAUCUGGAGGAAUACCGGUGGCGAAGGCGGCCCCCUGGACAAAGACUGACGCUCACGUGCGAAAGCGUGGGGAGCAAACAGGAUUAUAUACCCUGGUAGUCCACGCCGUAAACGAUGUCGAUUUGGAGGUUUGUUCCCUUGAGGAGUGGCUUCCGGAGCUAACGCGUUAAAUCGACCGCCUGGGGAGUACGGCCGCGAGGUUGAAAACUCAGAUGAUUUGUCGGGGGCCCGCACAGGCGGCGGGAGCAUGUGGUUUAAUUCAAUGCAACGUGGAGAACCUUACCUACU